rnacentral:rRNA from 1 species
AUUGAACGCUGGCGGCAUGCCUUACACAUGCAAGUCGAACGGCAGCACGGGGGCAACCCUGGUGGCGAGUGGCGAACGGGUGAGUAACAUAUCGGAACGUGCCCUGGAGUGGGGGAUAACUAGUCGAAAGACUAGCUAAUACCGCAUACGAUCUACGGAUGAAAGUGGGGGAUCGCAAGACCUCAUGCUCGUGGAGCGGCCGAUAUCUGAUUAGCAGUUGGUGGGGUAAAGGCCUACCAAGGCAUCGAUCAGUAGCUGGUCUGAGAGGACGACCAGCCACACUGGGACUGAGACACGGCCCAGACUCCUACGGGAGGCAGCAGUGGGGAAUUUUGGACAAUGGGCGCAAGCCUGAUCCAGCAAUGCCGCGUGAGUGAAGAAGGCCUCGGUUGUAA